UUGCAAACCAGAUCACUAGCUCUGCAUCCGGUUGCAGGAGUCGGGGGAACACAUUUGCUACAUUAAUUGAUGUGGAAAUUGAAGUGUUAUAAGAGCCGCAGACACAGGCAUCUACGUCUUACAUGG